AACGAACGCUGGCGGCAUGCCUAACACAUGCAAGUCGAACGAGACCUUCGGGUCUAGUGGCGCACGGGUGCGUAACGCGUGGGAACCUGCCCUUAGGUUCGGAAUAACUCUCCGAAAGGGGUGCUAAUACCGGAUAAUGUCUUCGGACCAAAGAUUUAUCGCCUUUGGAUGGGCCCGCGUUGGAUUAGCUAGUUGGUAGGGUAAAAGCCUACCAAGGCGACGAUCCGUAGCUGGUCUGAGAGGAUGAUCAGCCACACUGGGACUGAGACGCGGCCCAGACUCCUACGGGAGGCAGGAGUGGGGAAUAUUGGACAGUGGGCGAAAGCCUGAUCCAGCAAUGCCGCGUGAGUGAUGAAGGCCUUAGGGUUGUAAAGCUCUUUUACCCGGGAUGAUAACGACAGUACCGGGAGAAUAAGCUCCGGCUAACUCCGUG
rnacentral:rRNA from 1 species